AUUGAACGCUGGCGGCAGGCUUAACACAUGCAAGUCGAACGAGAGGCGGACUGGUGAGUAAUGCAUGGGAACCUGGCUUAUGGAGGGGGAUAACUACUGGAAACCGUAGAUAAUACCGCUUACCAUCGGAUGUGGACACAGGGGAUUAGGUAGUUGGUGAGGUAAAGGCUCACCUAGGCGACGAUCCCUAGCUGGUCUGAGAGGAUGACCAGCCACACUGGGACUGAGACACGGCCCAGACUCCUACGGGAGGCAGCAGUGGGGAAUAUUUCGCAAUGGGCGCAACCCUGACGCAGCCAUGCCGCGUGAGUGAAGAAGGCCUUCGGGUUGUAAAGUUCUUUCGGUAGGGAGGCGUUAUCUACAGAAGAAGCACCGGCUAACUCCGUGCCAGCCGCCGCGGUAAUAC
rnacentral:rRNA from 1 species